rnacentral:rRNA from 1 species
GACGGGGGGUCCUAGCGUUGUUCGGAAUUAUUGGGCGUAAAGCGUGUGCAGGCGGUUUAAUAAGUUAGAUGUGAAAUCCUUGGGCUCAACCCAAGAAGUGCAUUUAAAACUGUGAGACUUGAGUAUGGAAGAGGGUCGUGGAACUCCGAGUGUAGAGGUGAAAUUCGUAGAUAUUCGGAAGAACACCAGUGGCGAAGGCGGCUCACUGGCCCGGUACUGACGCUGAGGUGCGAAAGCGUGGGGAGCAAACAGG